GACGAACGCUGGCGGCGUGCUUAACACAUGCAAGUCGAACGGAAAGGCCCUGCUUGCAGGGUACUCGAGUGGCGAACGGGUGAGUAACACGUGGGUGAUCUGCCCUGCACUUCGGGAUAAGCCUGGGAAACUGGGUCUAAUACCGGAUAGGAGCCAGUUUUAGUGUGAUGGUUGGAAAGUUUUUUCGGUGUAGGAUGAGCUCGCGGCCUAUCAGCUUGUUGGUGGGGUAAUGGCCUACCAAGGCGGCGACGGGUAGCCGGCCUGGGAGGGUGGACGGCCACAAUGGGACUGAGAGACGGCCCAGACUCCUACGGGAGGCAGCAGUGGGGAAUAUUGCACAAUGGGCGCAAGCCUGAUGCAGCGACGCCGCGUGGGGGAUGACGGCCUUCGGGUUGUAAACUCCUUUCGCUAGGGACGAAGCUUUUUGUGACGGUACCUAGAUAAGAAGCACCGGCUAACUACGUG
rnacentral:rRNA from 1 species